UACGGAGGGUGCGAGCGUUGUCCGGAAUCACUGGGCGUAAAGGGCGCGUAGGCGGCAGGCCAAGCGUGCGGUGAAAGUCCGGGGCUCAACCCCGGAUCUGCCGUGCGGACUGGUUUGCUAGAGCACUGUAGAGGCGAGUGGAAUUCCGGGUGUAGCGGUGGAAUGCGUAGAGAUCCGGAAGAACACCGGUGGCGAAGGCGGCUCGCUGGGCAGUGGCUGACGCUGAUGCGCGACAGCGUGGGGAGCAAACAGG
rnacentral:rRNA from 1 species